CUGCCCGCAAGUUUCGAUGGGCACCACGCCACCCGCCCUUCAUUCUCUCAGCCUCAACAACCCCCUCCCCUCGUACCCUUCUGCGCCAUCCGGAUCCGCCGACGAUGGUGUGCCUCGUCUCCUCCCAGCGCUGCCUCGCCGAUUUUACCUUUCUCGUCCUCAACAUCCGCGACCUGGAUCUUGGCCGACGGCGCGCCAGUAACAUGUGUGUCGGCGAGGAAGACGGGUGCCGUCGCGAGGAAGUAGUGGUCUUCAUCGAGGCCAAGAACUCAUGAGGCUCCCGAUCUCCACCGGAACUAUUGGCAAUUGAAUAUGGGCGUUGCGAGGGAGGGGUCGAGUAGCGAUGGAGGGUCACCAGACGGCCAGAGUACGUACGGGUUCAUGCGUUAUUUCUCCGUGCCACCUAUACAGGGGACGGAGGUGGUCUUUCAUCUGGCUGCGUGGCCAUCUACAUCGCCCGAGUUCAGGACAUAGACGGAAAUAUGAGCCCGCUAGCUCUUCUAUGAAUCAGUAAUUGCUUAUAUUCCUGCUAAAUCAACUUGAAAACUUCUGUUCUAACAUGUGCUUUUGAAAUCCCUGCUUAUCUUCAGAAAACUACACUUCGUGUUUGCUAGCUCUGUUGUUCUUUCUUUUGUUGAAUGGAUAAACACUACCACUUCUAAUCCUUCGCAGUAAGUAGUUAGAUAGGCAUUGCCAGGGGAAUAGUGAAUACACCAGAUUGGUUUGGCACUUUCAAUUCGUUCACAGUAAGUAGUUAUACGUUAACUGAUAGGCAUCACUAGGAGAUGACUUCUUCUAGCUAGCUCUGUAUCUAGGGGAGACGAGCACAAUUAUUCCAUCAUAAUUCAAGGCUCGGAAGUUCUGCAAUCUUCAGGUAGUCUGCCGUAUUUAUUAGGAGAUAUUGAUUACUUCAUUUGUUAUUCUAUAAAAUUCAUGGGAAACUCUUCUAAUCAGUAGUCUGAUUUCUAUCGAAACGUCGGACGGCUUGUCCGUCGUCCAUCCUUGUGGCAUCUCAGGGCUGUAAGCAUUCCAAAGAUCUCCUCCCUGCCCCAUAAUUACGGGCCAACUUAAUUACAGGCCCACCUAAUUACACGCCCAUCUCCCCAAAUCUCUCCCGUUAUCUCCGUUAACGAUUCGUCUCCUCUAACCGUCCCUGAACUACGCUUCGGAGCUGCCGCUCACCUGCAUCGCCGCUCCGCUUACCUGUUCCCUCUGAUCUGCUCACCGCCGACGGCCGUCCACUUCUCAUCCCCAUCCACCGCCAUUUUUUCGCCCCUUGUAUUCCAGCUGAACCUCCCGUUCGACCAUGCUCGGGCCCAAAUCCCCCGCUAGGCGCUGUUGAACUCGACGACCCACGGACGAAGAGCGAAAUCAACGGCCGAUCUGCGGCCCUGUCUCACAUCGCCGGUACGCCUCACCUCACUAGCCAGCAACGAGCGUACGGCCGUCUAGAUUGCAAGUUUUGGAGCACAACCCUGUAGGCAUUCGCGCUGCAGAUUUCUGCAACUAGCGGAAGCUACCAUGAAACCGGUGGAUGAGUGUUUGUUGAAGAGCCGAUUUGCUGCUGGUCGGUUGAGGGAUGUAGUUUUAGGUAUGGCGAAGAAGCGCAUAAGAUCAUAUUCGACUGCGAGGGUGGGGUAAUCUUCGGAGGUUGGUUCUUUCUCAGCUCCCGAGGGACUGCUUGAAUGGAUUAUAGAUAGGACAAACCCCGAGCUUGGUGAAUUCAGGAACCCACGCAGCAAUGCUUCUAUAUUGUUCACGAAAGAUAUGAUUGUAAAAGUUCUUGGCCUACCUUCGGUAAAAGGCCGGUUGUUCUCACCGGCAAGCACCAAGAAUCAGCACACCGUGAAUUCUUCAAAAUAGACUAUAACCAUGGAAGAAGGGCACCAAUACACCAUGCAAUCGAUAUGCUUGACAAGGGAAAUCUGGAUGAAGAAACAUACUUUAGGACCUUCUUUGAAGUAGCAUUGGGUACUUAUUUGUGCCCGGAAGCUGGAAAUAUGUUACCUUUGGAAUAUCUUGGCAGCCUUGAUGAUUCAAACCAGGUCAAAGAUUAUGAUUGGGGUGCACACAUCCUUCAAAAUGUAAUGUCAGAGGUUGAUGCAUUCCAAAAGAAGAAAGCAAAUAACAAAUUACAAAAUGAACCAAAAAAGAUAUGGGUUGGUAGCUGCUUACCUGUGCUCGCGAUUAUUUUCAUGGACCAUCUUGAAUUCCC